rnacentral:tRNA from 1 species
CAGUUGGUAGAGCAGAGGACUGAAAAUCCUCGUGUC